ACUGAGACACAUACUCAAGUGUAAAGAGCUAGCGAGGAGCGGAGCUCCUUGAGCAGGCCUGUAUUAGCAUAGCUCUGGCUAGACCAGAAACCGAUUGCGACCUGUAGGUAAAGUCCGCUCGUGUCUGAAGGUAUCGUACAAGCCACUGGAAUAUAGUUUUCCAGUACUUAGUGUAAUUUGGCAAAUUGUACAGAGUGUUGGCUGUAUUCGAAGAUUAAGUCGCGUUAUUAUUACUUACUAACUACUGAUCAUAUAUUUUCCACUGUAUUUCACUAUCUAGGGCGUACCUAUUAUAAUUUCUUAUUGUAUUUCAUAUUCUAGCCGCAUCUAUUGUUAUACUCAAAACAAUCAUAGUUAGUUUACUUACUUGAAUAAAAGAUAAUUUCAGUUUGAUACGUUAAUGUUGGAUUUCACUCCUUAACCGCACACCACACGAACCUAUAAUCCCAAAUUUCGUUCAUACGAGUCGCCUUCUUGGGGAACCGCUCUUCCUAUACGUCGGUGCAGUGACGUACCUAUCAUUGGGUCGUUACAAACCGGUAAACAUCGAAAGAAAAAUGGAUUUAAGAAGCUGCAGUAAGUGUUUCAUGAACCUUUCUUUUCAUCUUUAUUUCGUGAGUGUCAUUGACAAUUACAUUCCGUAAGCAUUUGUCAUAAAAAUAUUUUUUUCGACAUUUGUUUUGUUUCAUGUAUAUUUAUGCGAUAACUUGUGCAGAGAAAAUUUUUGUCUUCUGGAUCAUUUUUCCAUGAUACAUUGACACAAUACGUUUUUUUGUCAACUGGUUUAUUCGUAUUUUGUAAUUCAAUACAGUUUAAUACAUGUAAUUGUCAAUGAAUAUUCGUAAAUUGCUGGAGAAAUACAUUUAAAAUUUUUCUGCAAUAUUAUCCAUGUUUUUCAAUUUUUGUUUAGAAGUUAAAAGGGCGAAAUCGUUGGGGGCGGUGGUAAAUUCACAAGCGCAGCAAGAGCUGCAACAGCAACCCCAGCCGCAGCUACAGCUGCAAUAAAAACCGUUGUGUCAGCAGCAACAUUCCCAGCCGCUGCCGUUGUUGCAACUACAGAUGCUGCAACAGCAACCACUGCAAUAGCAGCAGCGGCAGCAGCAGCAACACUAUCAGCCGUACCAGCCGCUGCAGCUGCAAAUGCUACAGCAACAUCCGCAACAUGUUGGGUAUACCACGUACAGGUCCAUGAAGCGGCGGCUGCUGCGGUUCUACCGUAACAAUCACUACGCGGGGGAAUUCGCAAGGAGGAUCGUCAAGGGAAGGGAAAUCUCAGGGUGGAGGGUGUGUAGGAAGGUUCGUGUGCGUUACGCGAUUGAGGGAAAUGGUUCAAGGGAAUCUUUAAGGGGAGGAACGGGUUAUCGCGGGCGCAACUCGCGGAAUUACAAUGCGCGGACGCGGAAAUUGCCGUUACCGGACGCAGAUCUACAAUUUUUAGUAAUCGGAAGGACUCACCAAUCGCCGUGCACGUUCCACACACACAACUCGCACGCUAUUCUACAAACCACCUCGCAAAUCUCUGUGAUACUUUCUACUCUCAAAAUCGCUCUCGGUACUUUCGCUAUCUAAAUGCUUUCGUCGCUCAAUGCUAAUUGCUGGCUCCUCGUCGCAGCAGCGGCGACGAGCCCGUUACAAGGAAUUUUUGGGGAGGGGAUGAGGUUAAAUUGGGACAUCUUCCGGGUCGAGGAUUGAUCUGUUAUCGAUCGGCCGGUAAUCGGAAUCGAUGGGGCUGACGGAGACUCGACGGUGGUGGCUGCGGGCUGUGGUUUUCGGGUUCGGCGACAGAUGGCUCCAUUCGACUGCUUUUCUGCCGUUGUUGGGCUGGUGGACCUUUGUCGUAGGAAGAUUAGCGUUACGACGUCCUAUGGACCGAUUUAGAGAGGUAUUAGAAAGCGAUUUUGAGAGUAUAAUAAAGAGUUUCAGAGCGGUAUAGAGUAGCAACUGUGAAGAGUGUGUGAAAUGUGCACGGCAAUUGCGAGCCCGGCAGGAUAUACCGCCACCAACAUCGGCAUCUCCCGGAGCCGCGCCCGGCGGCCCACCUCUACCACCUUUGUAAUCAACUUUCGCUAUUUUCUCUCUUUGAAUAAAUAGUUCUAUUUUUAUACUAA